CAGUCGCCGCGGUAAUACGGAGGGUGCAAGCGUUAAUCGGAAUUACUGGGCGUAAAGCGCACGCAGGCGGUCUGUCAAGUCAGAUGUGAAAUCCCCGGGCUUAACCUGGGAACUGCAUUUGAAACUGGCAGGCUAGAGUCUUGUAGAGGGGGGUAGAAUUCCAGGUGUAGCGGUGAAAUGCGUAGAGAUCUGGAGGAAUACCGGUGGCGAAGGCGGCUGACUGGACAAGUAUUGACGCUGAGGUGCGAAAGCGUGGGGAGCAAACAGGAUUAGAUACCCCCGUGUCCCUGUCUCUUAUACA
rnacentral:rRNA from 1 species